rnacentral:rRNA from 1 species
GUCAGACGAACGCCGGCGGCGUGCCUAAUACAUGCAAGUCGAGCGGACUUACAUUGGAUGCUUGCAUCCUUUGUAAGUUAGCGGCGGACGGGUGAGUAACACGUGGGUAACCUACCCUGUAGAUUGGGAUAACUCCGGGAAACCGGGGCUAAUACCGAAUAACACUUUUGAGCUCAUGUUCGAAAGUUAAAAGAUGGUUUCGGCUAUCACUACAGGAUGGGCCCGCGGCGCAUUAGCUAGUUGGUGAGGUAACGGCUCACCAAGGCAACGAUGCGUAGCCGACCUGAGAGGGUGAUCGGCCACACUGGGACUGAGACACGGCCCAGACUCCUACGGGAGGCAGCAGUAGGGAAUCUUCCACAAUGGACGAAAGUCUGAUGGAGCAACGCCGCGUGAGUGAAGAAGGAUUUCGGUUCGUAAAACUCUGUUGCAAGGGAAGAACAAGUAGCGUAGUAACUGGCGCUACCUUGACGGUACCUUGUUAGAAAGCCA